rnacentral:rRNA from 1 species
UUUUCGUGGCGAACGGGUGAGUAACACGUGGGCAAUCUGCCCUUCACUCUGGGACAAGCCCUGGAAACGGGGUCUAAUACCGGAUAACACUCUGUCCCGCAUGGGACGGGGUUAAAAGCUCCGGCGGUGAAGGAUGAGCCCGCGGCCUAUCAGCUUGUUGGUGGGGUAAUGGCCUACCAAGGCGACGACGGGUAGCCGGCCUGAGAGGGCGACCGGCCACACUGGGACUGAGACACGGCCCAGACUCCUACGGGAGGCAGCAGUGGGGAAUAUUGCACAAUGGGCGAAAGCCUGAUGCAGCGACGCCGCGUGAGGGAUGACGGCCUUCGGGUUGUAAACCUCUUUCAGCAGGGAAGAAGCGAAAGUGACGGUACCUGCAGAAGAAGCGCCGGCUAACUACGUGCCAGCAGCCGCGGUAAUACGUAGGGCGCAAGCGUUGUCCGGAAUUAUUGGGCGUAAAGAGCUCGUAGGCGGCUUGUCACGUCGGAUGUGAAAGCCCGGGGCUUAACCCCGGGUCUGCAUUCGAUACGGGCUAGCUAGAGUGUGGUAGGGGAGAUCGGAAUUCCUGGUGUAGCGGUGAAAUGCGCAGAUAUCACGAGGAACACCGGUGGCGAAGGCGGAUCUCUGGGCCAUUACUGACGCUGAGGAGCGAAAGCGUGGGGAGCGAACAGGAUUAGAUACCCUGGUAGUCCACGCCGUAAACGUUGGGAACUAGGUGUUGGCGACAUUCCACGUCGUCGUGCGCAGCUAACGCAUUUAGUUCCCCGCCUGGGGGAGUACGGCCGCAAGGCUAAAACUCAAAGGA